rnacentral:rRNA from 1 species
CCUACGGGGCGCAGCAGUGGGGAAUAUUGCACAAUGGGGGAAACCCUGAUGCAGCGACGCCGCGUGAGUGAAGAAGUAUUUCGGUACGUAAAGCUCUAUCAGCAGGGAAGAAAAUGACGGUACCUGACUAAGAAGCCCCGGCUAACUACGUGCCAGCAGCCGCGGUAAUACGUAGGGGGCAAGCGUUAUCCGGAUUUACUGGUUGUAAAGGGAGCGUAGACGGCAGCGCAAGUCUGGAGUGAAAUCCCAUGGCUUAACCAUGGAACUGCUUUGGAAACUGUGCAGCUAGAGUGCAGGAGAGGUAAGCGGAAUUCCUAGUGUAGCGGUGAAAUGCGUAGAUAUUAGGAGGAACACCAGUGGCGAAGGCGGCUUACUGGACUGUAACUGACGUGGAGGCUCGAAAGCGUGGGGAGCAAACAGGAUUAGAUACCCCUGUAGUC